UGGAAGCCAAACGGUGACGUGAAUGCAUGCACAUUUUUGCAGGAUCGACAUGAUUGCUGUCGACGUCGAUGUCGAGGCAGCUUACUCGACGAGCUUGACGAAGGCUGUAACAAACCUGUGCAGCAUUUGAUCGAGAGGCUGUUUGAACAACCACAUACUAGACCAGCACUUAGACCACCUUAGCAUCAGGAUGCAUGUCAAUGUGAAGAGGCUGUGAAACCUCUCCAAAUACAGGUAACAAACCUGUGCAGCAUUUGAUCGAGAGGCUGUUUGAACAACCACAUACUAGACCAGCACUUAGACCACCUUAGCAUCAGGAUGCAUGUCAAUGUGAAGAGGCUGUGAAACCUCUCCAAAUGCAGGUACCAUACCUGUGUCGCAUUUGAUCGAGAGGCAGUUUGAACAACCACAUACUAGACCAGCACUUAGACCAGCUUAGCAUCAGGAUGCAUGUCAAUGUGAAGAGGCUG